GACGAACGCUGGCGGCGUGCUUAACACAUGCAAGUCGAACGGAAAGGCCCUGCUUUUGUGGGGUGCUCGAGUGGCGAACGGGUGAGUAACACGUGAGUAACCUGCCCUUGACUUUGGGAUAACUUCAGGAAACUGGGGCUAAUACCGGAUAGGAGCUCCUGCUGCAUGGUGGGGGUUGGAAAGUUUCGGCGGUUGGGGCUGGACUCGCGGCUUAUCAGCUUGUUGGUGGGGUAGUGGCUUACCAAGGCUUUGACGGGUAGCCGGCCUGAGAGGGUGACCGGCGACAUGGGGACUGAGAGACGGCCCAGACUCCUACUGGAGGCAGCAGUGGGGAAUAUUGCACAAUGGGGGGAAGCCUGAGGCAGCAACGCCGCGUGCGGGAUGACGGCCUUCGGGUUGAAAACCGCGUUCGCCUGUGACGAAGCGUGAGUGACGGUAAUGGGUAAAGAAGCACCGGCUAACUACGUG
rnacentral:rRNA from 1 species